UUAGGUGCCUAUAUCGGCGGUGUCUACCUCUUCCCAUUCCGAACAGAGAAGUCAAGCCCGCCAGAGCCGAUGGUAUUGCCGUAACAGGUGGGAGAGUAGGUCGGUGCCUUUUUUU
rnacentral:rRNA from 1 species